CAGGCCUUGGGCAGGUCGACGCUGAGCGGCGCCCCCGACCCAGGGGCAGCGGCGAGGCCGGGCGGGCCGCUCGGAACGGGAUCAGAAGUGUCUCCUCCUCCCCUUCCCCUCCUCGUCCGCAGCCCGCGCCUCCCCCUCCGCCGCUGCGCACGGAUGGCGGCGGGAGCCGCAGAGCCAGCUGAAGCAUCAGUUCCACAUAACCCCACAUGCUCUGAGGACCAGAGAGGGCAGAGAUGGGAGCUGGGACGAACAGCACCAUUCAGUUGGGCGGGUGAAACUGGAUCAUACUAAGUACCCUCGAAUGCAGUAUCACUGAUACCAUGCCAGCAACCUCGUGGGGAGUUGGUCAGAAAUGCAGUCUCAGGCCUCACCUGAGACCUGUUGCAUCAUGGUCUGUAUUUAACAAGAGCCAAGGACUCCAGGAGAUUUCUGUGCACAUCAAAGUUGGAGAAGUUCUGAUAUGUAUUAUGUGCAACUUGCUUUUUAGAAACAUUACGUCUUAGAUUACGUCUUUCAGAUCCACCACAUUCCUUGCUCAUGGCUGCAUAGAUUUUCACUAUUUGGAGGUGCCCUGAUUUUGCUCCCUGGUCUACUGAAAUGACUAGGUUGGACCUGAACGAUGAGUGAAGAGACUGUGUGUGGCUGCACAUACCUACAAUUCCAGUUACUUGGAGGCUCAGGAGGAUCACAAGUUCAAGGUCAGCCUUGGAAACUUACCAAAACCCUGUUUCAAAAAAGAAAAAGAAAAGGGCAUGUGGUGUCUCUGAGUGAUGGAGUACUUGCCUAGCAGGUGUGAGACCCUGGGUUCCUUCUCCAGUACAAGAAAACGGGGGUCGGGGGCUACAUGGAAUACCACUUGGGGUGUGAAGGAGGUAGGACGCUGGGGACAGGGAAGCAGCAUGAAGGUUUGAAGUCAGAUAGGAAAGAUCUGAAAUUUCCCGGGCCGUGUUUUCUGCACUGGGCUUAGUAGGGGCUGAAGGAGAGCCGCUGCAGUGUGUGUCCCAGGCUCAGGGCAGCUGAGUGAAUUAAAUGAGAGUCUUAGAAAUGACUCUGAUCCUCCACUUUGAGUGCCCGGGAGGCAGGAUUCUCUCUUGAACUCCAAAAGUUUUGACCACCAACUGUGCUGAACGGAUGGCAUUCCCUGGGCGUCUCCCCGCAGCCACUGUGCUAAGGGACGCACCACCAGCUUCGGAAAGAAGCCUGAUUAGUUCAUUUUGACAGAUGAGGAAACUGAGGCACAGAAAGGUUAACGGGUGAUGUGGGAAGGUCACAAAGCCAAGAAGUGAUGGAGUCACGAUGUGACAGGUGGUGUGACCCGCUGCCACGUGGUACCCUACGUCAUGCCAUCUGCACCUUUGUAAUGCACAGACCCUACCCUAGCCCCUAGGGAGCGCUCUCUUGUGAACAUGGCAGGUGCUGAAAGACACUCGCUGAUGUGGAUGUCCUUAUACAACUCCCGGCUCAAGCCAUUGUAUUCAGUGACCAGCUGCUGGGUUGGGCCUCGGAGCCGCUCCUUCAUCCUGUGUUCUUCCACGGGGCUGACCAGUGGCCAGGCCCUGCUGCAAUGCGGUCUCACCCCAGCUGUGCCACUUUCUAACCUGAUGACCUCCAAUCAGUCAGUUUACCUCCCGAGCCUCAGUUUCUUCAUCUCUGAGAGGGGGACAAGAAUAGAGCCCAAUUUGCAAGACUCUGUGAGGAUUCAGUGACGUCAUACCAAUUUAGGGAAAGCUUGGAACAGUGACUAUGGAGCACUGCAAUUAGCGUGAUUCAAUCACAUGGGCAUCGCGCCGGCCAGAGACUUCUUCAGUCUUAUGAAGGAAGCAGAGGAUGUGGCUGGAUGUGUGACCAGGUGCGGGGAGAGGAGAGGAGGCCUGUUACCCACACAUGGGUCCUCUUCAGAAGGGACGGCCCUGAGGACAGGAGGGGACCUGCCCCCGGUUGCUCCAGAAGAUAGUGGCAGCAACAAGCCUGUGCACAUCCUGGCUUGUCCCCACCUCUGUCUUCUGUCUCCCUCACCCUGUUUAUUGAUAGGAAGAGGCAUAAGUGGGCGGCAGCCACUGGGAGGCCACGUGAUAAGCAUAUGGUCUUCCAUUUCCCCUGCCUCUUGCCUGACUUGGAGCCGCUGCUGAGCACAGCCUGUUCCUGGGAAUUCUGAGCUAGGGAGUCUGGUUGGGGGGCUCACCUUACUGCCGUUUGGUGUGCUGUGCUGGAUGCUUGGCUGGGGCUGGUCGCUACAGCGGGAUGGACGUAGAUGUCAAGCAGGGAAGAGCUGCCAGCAUGAACACCAGCCCAGGACAGAGGGAGGAAAUCGCUUCCUGGAUUCAUUCGUUCACUUGCUAGUUUCAUUGACCUUCCCAGGCAACCCUGUGAUGUGUAGGGCCACCCUGGUUCCCAGGGAUAUGGGGACGACGCAGAAGCUGCUUCCUGCCAUCAAGAAGUACAUGACAUCACUGAAGACGGAAAUAACGUGAGGUUACAUGACCAGAUCACAAAAUAAAGCUGCCAUAAUCCAUAGCCACUUAGAAGGUAUAAUGGGAAAAAGUGACAUUCGCCACCAUAGAAAUUACAGAGGGUUAGGUGAAGAAACCUCCAAACCCAAAGCACAAUGUAAAGCUUCAAUAAUUGGAGACUUUACUUCCUUUUUAAACUGAGUAAAGAUGUCAUUUGUUUAACUGAAACACAUUUAAUGCAAAAUCAGUCAAAAUUCAGAUGGAUUGUUGGGUGUAGGAAGAAGUUUGACAAAAUUCUAUCAUCUACAUGAAAAAUAUACAGAAAAUAUGUGGUUGGGAAUCAGCAAGAAUUUGUUUGUUUUGUUUAUGGUGCUGGGGAUUGAACCCAGGGCUUCCGAAUGCUAGGCAAAUGCUCUCCUACUGAGUUGAUCCCAGCUGAAAGAUUUGUUCUUUAACGAAAGAUAAUGUCAGAGGCUUACACUAUCAGGCACUAAGACACAUUCCAAAGCUAUAAUCAUUACAUUAUGUGGUAUCAUCAUGGGAGGGGACAGGAGCAGAAUAAAUCUGAAUAUAGAUCAGUGUGAGUGUAAGAAUUUAUUUUGUGAUAGAGACCACUCAAGUGAGUUGGUUCUAUGACCUUGGGCUUCAUCUGGGGUGCAUAGGGAUGGACCUCUCUUCUCCCUCCAAAGAUAUUCUUCCAGGGCCUUUGCCUGCAAGAGGCUGAUUAAAAGCAAUCAGCUCCAGUGUGCCCAGAGCACUCCCUUCUCCUAUCUUGUAUGAUCCUCAAGGAGGCAGCAUGAGAUCAAAUACACUAAAAAGUGAAGUUCUCACUAACCCCAGGAUAUAGUUAUCCAAGCCUAUUAUUGCAAAUUAGGAAAAGGGAGAGAAAGUGAAACCCCCCAUAAGCCCACAAAUAUUUAUUUUUUCCAAAACCAAGACAUACAGUGUAUGCAGUUUUGUAACCUGCUGAGUUCAUGUCAUAUCAUAUAUUGUGUUUAAAUAUCCUUUGUAAUUUCUGGUGGUUGUGUGCUAUUCCUUAAGGGACGACCACCAUGAUUUAUUUAACUGUUCCCCUAAAGUUGAUUC